AAAACGGAGAGUUUGAUCCUGGCUCAGGAUGAACGCUGGCGGUAUGCUUAACACAUGCAAGUCGAACGGACUCUUAGGAGUUAGUGGCGGACGGGUGAGUAACGCGUGAGAAUUUGGCUUCAGGUCGGGGACAACAGUUGGAAACGACUGCUAAUACCGGAUGUGCCGGAAGGUGAAAGAUUUAUCGCCUGAAGAUAAGCUCGCGUCU
rnacentral:rRNA from 1 species